rnacentral:rRNA from 1 species
UAGAGUUUGAUCCUGGCUCAGAAUGAACGCUGGCGGCGUGCUUAACACAUGCAAGUCGGACGAGAAAUCUUUAGCUUGCUAAAGAAAGUAAAGUGGCGAACGGGUGAGUAACGCGUGGGUAAUCUGCCUUCGAAUCGGGGAUAACAUUGCGAAAGUGAUGCUAAUACCGGAUAAAAUCUUAUUGGCUUAGGUGAAAAAGAUCAAAGGUGGUCUCUUUUUAAAAGCUACUGUUCGGAGAUGAGCCCGCGUACCAUUAGCUAGUUGGUGGGGUAAAGGCCUACCAAGGCGACGAUGGUUAGCUGGUCUGAGAGGAUGAUCAGCCACACCGGAACUGAAACACGGUCCGGACUCCUACGGGAGGCAGCAGUGAGGAAUUUUGCGCAAUGGGGGAAACCCUGACGCAGCAACGCCGCGUGAGUGAUGAAGGCUUUCGGGUCGUAAAGCUCUGUCAGGUGGGAAGAAUCUGCUAUAGGUGAAUAUCUUAUGGCACUGACGGUACCACCGAAGGAAGCACCGGCUAACUCCGUGCCAGCAGCCGCGGUAACACGGGGGGUGCAAGCGUUAUUCGGAUUUAUUGGGCGUAAAGGGCGCGCAGGCGGUUUCUUAAGUCAGAUGUGAAAGCCCGGGGCUUAACCCCGGAAGGGCAUUUGAAACUAAGAAACUUGAGUAUGGGAGAGGGAAGUGGAA